AACGAACGCUGGCGGCAUGCCUAACACAUGCAAGUCGAACGAGACCUUCGGGUCUAGUGGCGCACGGGUGCGUAACGCGUGGGAACCUGCCCUUAGGUUCGGAAUAACUCCCCGAAAGGGGUGCUAAUACCGGAUAAUGUCUUCGGACCAAAGAUUUAUCGCCUUUGGGUGGGCCCGCGUUGGAUUAGCUAGUUGGUAGGGUACAAGCCUACCAAGGCGACGAUCCAUAGCUGGUCUGAGAGGAUGAUCAGCCACACUGGGACUGAGACACGGCCCAGACUCCUACGGGAGGCAGCAGUGGGGAAUAUUGGACAAUGGGCGAAAGCCUGAUCCAGCAAUGCCGCGUGAGUGAGGAAGGCCUUAGGGUUGUAAAGCUCUUUUACCCGGGAUGAGAAUGACAGUACCGGGAGAAGAAGCUCCGGCUAACUCCGUG
rnacentral:rRNA from 1 species